UGGGGAAUAUUGGACAAUGGGCGCAAGCCUGAUCCAGCCAUGCCGCGUGAGUGAUGAAGGCCUUCGGGUUGUAAAGCUCUUUCGCACACGACGAUGAUGACGGUAGUGUGAGAAGAAGCCCCGGCUAACUUCGUGCCAGCAGCCGCGGUAAUACGAAGGGGGCUAGCGUUGUUCGGAAUUACUGGGCGUAAAGGGCGCGUAGGCGGUUUUACAAGUCAGGCGUGAAAGCCCCGGGCUUAACCUGGGAACUGCGCUUGAGACUGUGAGACUAGAGUACCGGAGAGGUGGGUGGAAUUCCCAGUGUAGAGGUGAAAUUCGUAGAUAUUGGGAAGAACACCGGUGGCGAAGGCGGCCCACUGGACGGUAACUGACGCUGAGGCGCGAAAGCGUGGGGAGCAAACA
rnacentral:rRNA from 1 species